UUAACAAAUACGAAGAAGAGUGUUUGAAUGACGUGGCUUUCAGGCUUAGACGGAAGAGAGCCAGCUUCAUUUGCAGGAGCCCUGGACUAUCACUUAAGCGUCAUUCAAAACAGAAACAACACAAACAUUAAGGAUGGUGACUGAUGUUCAGCUGGCAAUCUUUGCCAACAUGCUUGGAGUGUCGUUAUUCCUGCUGGUUGUGCUCUAUCAUUAUGUUGCUGUGAAUAAUCCCAAGAAACAGGAGUAGAUUUCACUACAAUGACUGGAGAAGUGAGAUAAGAGUCGGAGUCCCAAUCUUCCC